UACGUAGGGGGCAAGCGUUGUCCGGAUUUAUUGGGCGUAAAGAGCGUGUAGGCGGCUUUGCAAGUCCGUUGUGAAAACUCGAGGCUCAACCUCGAGACGCCGGUGGAAACUGCAAAGCUAGAGUCCGGAAGAGGAGAGUGGAAUUCCUGAUGUAGCGGUGAAAUGCGCAGAUAUCAGGAAGAACACCCGUGGCGAAGGCGGCUCUCUGGGACGGUACUGACGCUGAGACGCGAAAGCGUGGGGAGCGAACAGG
rnacentral:rRNA from 1 species